AAAAAAAUCAUCUUCAUGGUGACAAAACUAUCCAAGACAAGGCGUUGGGGAAUCCGAGCUUGAUACCCACAAAAUGCAUAAACUAAUAUAUUCAUGCAUUCACAUUCAUUUUGCAACUAUCCAAGACAAGGCGUUGGGGAAUCCGAGCUUGAUACCCACAAAAUGCAUAAACUAAUAUAUUCAUGCAUUCACAUUCAUUU
rnacentral:lncRNA from 1 species